UACGUAGGGGGCUAGCGUUGUCCGGAUUUAUUGGGCGUAAAGAGCGUGUAGGCGGCCAGGUAGGUCUGGUGUGAAAACUCGAGGCUUAACCUCGAGAUGUCAUCGUAAACCAUCUGGCUAGAGUCCGGAAGAGGAGAGUGGAAUUCCUGGUGUAGCGGUGAAAUGCGCAGAUAUCAGGAAGAACACCAAUGGCGAAAGCAGCUCUCUGGGACGGUACUGACGCUGAGACGCGAAAGCGUGGGGAGCGAACAGG
rnacentral:rRNA from 1 species